rnacentral:rRNA from 1 species
UACGAAGGGUGCAAACGUUGCUCGGAAUUAUUGGGCGUAAAGCGCACGUAGGCGGCUUUGCAAGUCGGAUGUGAAAUCCCUCGGCUUAACCAAGGAAGUGCAUCCGAAACUGCAAGGCUUGAGUACUUAAGAGGAUCGCGGAAUUCCCGGUGUAGAGGUGAAAUUCGUAGAUAUCGGGAGGAACACCAGUGGCGAAGGCGGCGAUCUGGGAAGAUACUGACGCUGAGGUGCGAAAGCGUGGGAGCAACAGG